GAUGAACGCUAGCGGCAGGCCUAACACAUGCAAGUCGAGGGGCAGCGGGAGUGCUUGCACUCGCCGGCGACCGGCGCACGGGUGCGGAACGCGUAUCGAAUCUGCCUCUAUCUGGGGGAUACCCCAUGGAAACGUGGAAUAAUACCCCAUAGUAUUACUUUUUCGCAUGAUUUAGUAAUUAAAGAAUUUCGGAUAGAGAUGACGAUGCGUAUCAUUAGCUAGUAGGUAAGGUAACGGCUUACCUAGGCUACGAUGAUUAGGGGUCCUGAGAGGGAGAUCCCCCACACUGGUACUGAGACACGGACCAGACUCCUACGGGAGGCAGCAGUGAGGAAUAUUGGACAAUGGUCGAAAGACUGAUCCAGCCAUGCCGCGUGCAGGAUGACUGCCCUAUGGGUUGUAAACUGCUUUUAUACGGGAAGAAAAACACCUACGUGUAGGUGACUGACGGUACCGUAAGAAUAAGGACCGGCUAACUCCG
rnacentral:rRNA from 1 species